CCCUUAGUCAAGGUCGCGCUCCUGUGAGUUUUGACUUGUGCUGAGUUCGGAGCAGGACAAGGGCGGGAACUGUGCUUAAAUGCCAGCUGCCAGGAAGGUCUUUUCCACUCUGCAGAGAUCAGCCGUGAGCCAGACCAUCUCCGGGAGUCAGCUGUAAGCCGAGGUGAGCCUUCCGUGUCUUACAUGGAAACUGAAAUUGAUCAUCUAAUGCAGCCCAGAAUUCCUCCAAAACAUUUGUAUUGUUUCGAGAAAGGAAGGGAACAUGUAAGCCCAGUUGAACAUCCUGGGGUUUCUAAUCCAAAUGAACAAGGCAGGAGAAAAAUUCAUGCCUGAGAUGAAGUCAAAGAGAGAUCCCAGUAGGCAACAGAAGGUAGGGCUGUGAGUCCAACAGACAUUUAAUGAGCACAGUUCAGUGAGGGCGAUGGCACGCUGUACCCACGGGAAUCCUAAAACUUCCCAUUGUUUGAUUAGGCGAGAGAGGUUGGUGAACUCCUGAGACAUAAUUCAAAAUCAUUUCCCCUGUACUUACUAAGGGAUUUGGCAUACGAGGUUCACUGUAUUCCCCAAUCCCCUGCCCCCAGGACAGCCCAUCGUGGAUAUCAGAAAUCCCACUGUGAGAGUCUUUCCCUUGGAAUAAACAUUGUUAACAACCGUGGGCAGAGAACACAUUUCUUCCAAAUCCCCCAAAGAAUAACAGUUACAUUUUAUUUCCAGCCUGUUCUGCUGCUUCUCCUGGACAGUAUGGGGUAUAGAGUUUCAGAAUAAGUCAGUUACAAGCUUUGUGCAGAUGACAUUUCUUAAGGUCAACCCCUACCUGUGGCCAUUCUGGGUCAAAGAGGGCGUGCACCUUCAAUGCCUGCCAGACGGUAUCAAGUUGCCAUUGCAGAGUCAACCUUAGAAUUGCACAUCACACCUGAAAACCAAGACUAACUUCAGGAGCCCUGGGUGCUCACCCUUCCAGGAGGAACGAGGCGUUCCUUGCCGAUGAGGAGAGCGCCUAGGAGCAUCACAGCUGGAGGUAGCUGGAGCUGUUCCGAAUGGUUUUUGAUAAAUUCUUCACCUUGUGGGUGAUUUGGAUUGGGAUACCUCCAGGAAAACAGGCAGCCAAACAUGUUUUUGACCUGUGUGUGCCUAAUUGACCCUCUCGUCGGUCUCUCCCCUGCACCCCACCCAGCCCCCACCCAAGGGAAGACUAUAGCAGAGACUCCCAGAACGUCAGCACCAGGAGUAACCAACCUGAGUGGAAGCUGAGGCAGAGACAAGGCCUGCCCAAGGUCAUGGUCAUGGUGGCAGAUGAGGGGGAGAUGGGGUGAAAACCGACGGGCCAGUGAUCAUUCCAAAAGAGGGCAACUUGCCUAUGGAAGGAAAGCAUGACUGCCUGCUUGUGGGAUGGCAGGAAGACACCCAAGAGGGGUGGACAAGAGGGAUCCGCAGCAGGUCUCCUUCGAGAGGCUGCCGUUUCCUGUGAAGGAACAAUUCCCUGACAUGUUUUUCCCUGUGCAUUGGACCAGAGCAACAUGAAACGUGGAGGGUGAAACAAGACCUCAUUCUUUUCUCUGAUUCCAACUUCUGCAGGUAAACACUUCUUAGGAGAAGGAGAUGAUUGGUUGGCUUUUUUAUUUUUUUUAUUUUUUG